AGUGAACGCUGGCGGUAGGCCUAACACAUGCAAGUCGAACGGACGCACAGUAAGAGCUUGCUCUUACGGGUGGCGAGUGGCGGACGGGUGAGGAAUACAUCGGAAUCUACUUUUUCGUGGGGGAUAACGUAGGGACACUUACGCUAAUACCGCAUACGACCUACGGGUGAAAGCAGGAGAUCUUCGGACCUUUCGCGAUUGAAUGAGCCGAUGUCGGAUUAGCUAGUUGGCUGGGUAAAGGACCACCAAGGCAACGAUACGUAGCAGGUCUGAGAGGAUGAUCAGCCACACUGGAACUGAGACACGGUCCAGACUCCUACGGGAGGCAGCAGUGGGGAAUAUUGGGCAAUGGGCGCAAGCCUGAUCCAGCAAUACCGCGUGGGUGAAGAAGGUCUUCGGGUUGUAAAGCCCUUUUGUUGGGAAAGAAAAGCAGCAGGUUAAUACGUCGCUGUUCUGACGGUACCCAAAGAAUAAGCAACGGCUAACUUCGUG
rnacentral:rRNA from 1 species